CAAGAUGUGAGGUGUCUGCUGUAGAUCCCAGCUUCCACCUCAAUGACAGUGCAAGCUCAGUGAACUGUUCAAGCUCUUUCACUGAGGUCCAUCCACAAAAGGACAAGAAGUACAUUGUUUAUGAGAAACAGUUGCUGGGGCUGUUCAGAAGGUGUCCCGUUUGUACCGGGCGUUGUGUUGUGAACACGACGACAAUCGGCACACUGCUCCGUGUGACACAACGGUGUUCAUGCUGUGAGCACUACAAUGAGUGGUCCAGUCAGCCCAUGGUGAACAGCAUCCCAGCAGGAAACCUCCAGCUCUGUGCUGCUGUCCUUUUCACAGGCUCAUCAUUUAGCCAGAUUUCUAAGGUAUAGGCCAAAACUGUUUAGGUUAGUUUUGAUAAGGUCUGUGCAUCUCUCAUUUCAUGAUGUAACUUUUCAUAUUUUAGUUCCUGGGUGCCUUCAAUGUGCAGGGACUGUCCAAGCAGACAUUCUAUCGACAUCAGGCAAAGCUGUUAAUUCCAACAGUGAGCGGGCAAUGGCAGCUAGAGCAAGCUGAUAUCAUCCAGGAGGCUACUGAAUCUGGACCUGUGACUCUUUGUGGUGACAUGCGAGCUGAUUUACCUGGUGAAUACGUUUAAAUUUAUUUAUUUUAUUCCUUUGCUAUCAAAUGUAAAUUAAGUAAUAACUUGCAUUUCUUGAAAGACACUCAGCCAAAUAUGGCAGCUACACCAUGAUGGAUCUCAAAAGAAACAAAGUUAUUGAUAUCCAACUUGUACAGAGCAAUGAAGUUGGAAAUAGUGUGCGAAUGGAGAAGGAAGGAUUUGUGCAAAGUCUGAGCACACUUUUGGAGAGGGGGGUCGAUGUGCAGCAAGUUGUGACUGACCGCCACACAGGAGUGCAGAAAUAUUUGCGGGAGGAAAAAAAGGAAAUCAGUCACUACUUUGACCCCUGGCACAUGGGAAAAGGUCAUCUUUGGGGAUGUAUAUAGUGAAUAUUACAGGAUUUUUUUUUUCCUAUUUUAAAUGUGGGUCUAUUUGGCUCUCCAGGAAUUGGUAAGAAAAUCGAAGAGCUGGGGAAGAGAAAGACAACUCAGGAUGUGAGACUGUGGAAGCAAAGUGUUGUGAACCACCUCUACUGGUCAGCAUCCAGUUCCUCCUCAGGAGAGGAGGCAGUAGCAAAGUGGACUUCAGUUGCCAACCACAUCCAAAAUGUGCACAGGCAUGACAACGCCCUGUUCCCUAGCUGUCUGCAUGCACCUCUGGAUGGAGAACAGGCAAGACAGUGGCUCAUACCAAGUAAGUGUAGCAUGUACUCAUUACAGCUGAGCCUUUACUGUUUGGUUUAUUUACAUUUAAAACACG